CGGNUGAUCCCUUCGGAGGUUACUGCUAUCGAGGUUCGACUAAGCCAUGCGAGUCGAAUGUAGCAAUACAUGGCGAACUGCUCAGUAACACGUGGACAACCUGCCCUUAGGACGGGGAUAAACCCGGGAAACUGGGUAUAAUACCCGAUAGGUCUCGAUUGCUGGAAUGCAUCGAGAUUUAAAGCUCCGGCGCCUAAGGAUGGGUCUGCGGCCUAUCAGGUAGUAGUGGGUGUAGCGUACCUACUAGCCUACGACGGGUACGGGUUGUGAGAGCAAGAGCCCGGAGAUGGAUUCUGAGACACGAAUCCAGGCCCUACGGGGUGCAGCAGGCGCGAAAACUUUACAAUGCUGGCAACAGCGAUAAGGGAACCUCGAGUGCCAGGUUACAAAUCUGGCUGUCGAGAUGCCUAAAAAGCAUUUCAUAGCAAGGGCCGGGCAAGACCGGUGCCAGCCGCCGCGGUAACACCGGCGGCUCGAGUGGUAACCGUUAUUAUUGGGUCUAAAGGGUCUGUAGCCGGCCGGAU
rnacentral:rRNA from 1 species